rnacentral:lncRNA from 1 species
UGAGGGAUGACAAUAUGAAAAUAUUUACUGAAUAUGUAAGGCUAAAUGUAACAACACAUGAUAUAAGAGCCUAAUAAAAAUCAGAUACCAGUGAAUAAAUAGUGCUUGUAGACCACCUUCAUAUAUUUGUAGGAUCAGGUACAUUACAUUCCUUUCUUCAUUUUACCUUUCUUACUUCAUAAUCUUUGUAAGUCAUAUAAUACAAAGGACCAGCUGAUCAAAGGUAAAUAUAUAAAUU